AUUUGAAGAAUCUACCCACUGGGCUACACAGCCUCGCAGCCCUUAAGGAUCUGAGAAUCUAUGGUUGUUCAAAUCUAGUUUCCCUUCCAGCAACAAGUUUGCCUCAUAAUCUUGAAGUUCUGAGAAUAAAAUAUUGUGACAACCUAGAUAAUCUGCCAAAUGGGUUGCAGAGCCUCACAUCUCUUAAAGAUCUGCAUAUCAGCAGUUGUCCCAAACUCGUGUCCUUCCCAGCAACAGGUUUGCCAUAUAGCCUUAAAAAUCUUGAGAUUAGAAAUUGUGAAUGUCUGAAAUCCUUGCCUAAUGGAGUCAUGG
rnacentral:misc_RNA from 1 species